GUUUAUAUCUCAUAUGGCUACAUCGAGCAACUUGUACAGGCUGAUUCUGUCUUAAAACUGUAUUAUGAUUCCUAUGACAUGUCAAGGGAAUUUCAGUAUUGGUUGAAGACAAGUAACAAUUAGGUUUUAGGAAAAUUGCUCGGGUAUCGUGUUCCUCUGCUGCCACUCACGAAUCAUGGGAUAGAAAAUUGCUCGGGAUGUUGAAUCUGAUUCUGAUUCUGAAACUUUGCUACCUUCUUGUGAGAGUAUACAUGGCUCAGAAACAUCAGAAGACAGGAAAAGUUUCAAGGGUAACAAUUAAAGCUCCAAUCAUGAUGGGAAGAAAUCACUA